GACGAACGCUGGCGGCGUGCCUAAUACAUGCAAGUCGAGCGGACAGAAGGGAGCUUGCUCCCGGAAGUUAGCGGCGGACGGGUGAGUAACACGUGGGCAACCUACCCUGUAGAUCGGGAUAACAUCGAGAAAUCGGUGCUAAUACCGGAUAAUCAUUUGAAGCGCAUGCUUCGAAUGUAAAAGAUGGCUCCGGCUAUCACUACGGGAUGGGCCCGCGGCGCAUUAGCUAGUUGGUAAGGUAAUGGCUUACCAAGGCAACGAUGCGUAGCCGACCUGAGAGGGUGAUCGGCCACACUGGGACAGAGACACGGCCCAGAAUCCUACGGGAGGCAGCAGUAGGGAAUCUUCCGCAAUGGACGAAAGUCUGACGGAGCAACGCCGCGUGAGUGAUGAAGGUUUUCGGAUCGUAAUGCUCUGUUGUUAGGGAAGAACAAGUGCCGUUUGAAUAAGGCGGCACCUUGACGGUACCUAACCAGAAAGCCACGGCUAACUACGUGCCAGCCGCCGCCGUAAAAC
rnacentral:rRNA from 1 species